UACGGGGGGGGCAAGCGUUGUUCGGAAUUACUGGGCGUAAAGGGCGCGUAGGCGGCCUGCUAAGUCGGACGUGAAAUCCCUCGGCUCAACCGAGGAACUGCGUCCGAUACUGGCGGGCUCGAAUCCGGGAGAGGGAUGUGGAAUUCCAGGUGUAGCGGUGAAAUGCGUAGAUAUCUGGAGGAACACCGGUGGCGAAGGCGGCAUCCUGGACCGGUAUUGACGCUGAGGCGCGAAAGCCAGGGGAGCAAACGGG
rnacentral:rRNA from 1 species